rnacentral:rRNA from 1 species
AUGCAGUGGCUAGAAACAAUGAGUCAUAUGUGGGUUGACCGGAGAAAGAAGGUCAUGAGGUUUAAGUACCAAGGAGCAAGAAUCACACUCAGAGGAGUUAAAGAUAAACUCAAUUCUUGCACAGCCAUUUCUGGGAAACACUUACAAGGACUCCUCAAUACUGGAGCAGUUGAGCAAGUAAUCCACCUCUGCCAUAUGGCAGAGAGACCCAUGACAGAAACCUGCAUUCCACCUGAAGUUCAGCCACUUAUUGACAAGCAUCAGCAACUGUUCACUGCUCCUGACUCUCUCCCUCCCCAUAGAGAGUUUGACCAUCAAAUACCUUUGUUACCUGGAGCAAAACCUGUCAGUGUUAAACCAUACAGGAGCUGGAAUACCUUGGUCAUGUGA